CCAGAAUUAGUGAGGUUUAGUUUAAACCUGUUGAAGUGAUUAGUCUUAAACAGACUAAUGAUAAUGACAACUCAUCCAUUCAUAUAACAGCUUUGAUAAUGCUGUGAGACUUUGUGAUAUUCACCGCUAUAACUAAAUUCAGAAAGAAACCUCAGAGCCACAGGCUGUACUGCACGGAGCUUUGAGAACCAGGAGUAUGCACGGUCCAGCAUGGCCAUUUCCUGGGUGUGUCAGAGAGCACCGAGUGGAAAUUCAACAGCAGUCGUGCGUCCCCCACUCCUCGAUGUGUGUGUGUGUGUGUGUGUGUGUGUGUGCAUUAUUCCAUUUUUGUUCCACAAACAUCUGAGAAACAUCUUCAGUUUACGUCUCAGUUGUUGAAUGUUUUUAUGUUCAUACCAAUAUUUACACAUGUUUAGAAAUUUGCUGGAAAUAAAAGCAGUUGAAUGUGAGAGGACCUUUCUUUUUUUGCUGGGUUUAUAUUAUUAUUCUAUAUUAUAAAAUUAAAUAGUUUGGCAAAUGAUUGUCCCUUUUGAGUAAAUAAAUUCAUGUUGUGAACAUCAGCGAUGUUUCCUAAUAUCUUAUUCACUGUAGAAAUGCAGAAUGUAAUGUCUAAUGAUGUGAAUAAGGGGAGACUGGCACAUUUUCUUAACUUCGAGCUCUGCAUUCCAUCAUCUACUCAUCACAAAACUCUUAAACAUCUGAACUUUCUGCAUCAUGCUAUUUUAUUUGAAACUUUUGGCACAAAAUUAACUUCAUAGUGCAGAGUAUUAACGAUCUUCUAGUGCACACACACACACACAUGCACAUGCACACAGGUACUGAUCACAGGUGUGUAGUGUUCACUCGGUGUUAAUGUUAAUGAUGUGAGUGUGUGUUAGAGUAUCAAAGUGAGUGUGUGUUAGUAUUUUAAAGUGAGUGUGUGUUAGUAUUUUAAAGUGAGUGUGUGUCAGAGUAUCAAGUGAGUGUGCGUUAGAGUAUCGAAGUGAGUGUGCGUUAGAAGUAUCGAAGUGAGUGUGCGUUAGAGUAUCGAAGUGAGUGUGCGUUAGAGUAUCGAAGUGAGUGUGUGUUAGU
ensembl:lncRNA